CACACUUUUGUCAUUUUCAACACUCUCACUAUCUCUCCAGUUUUCCCUCUUCUCUCUCUAAACCCCACAAACCCUAACACCUCUCAUCCCCCCUCAUUUUCUCUCUUUUUUCUCGUCUCCCUCAUUCUCUGUCUUCUUCCUCAUUCAUUUUCUUCUCAUUUUCCUUUUUAUCAUUUCCUCCAUCUAUCAUUGCUUCUCAAACUAUAAAAGCAAAUCAUAAAGCAUGAAUGAAAUUGAAAAUGGAUGAUUUAACCUAGAGGUGUUUUUUGGCGAAAAUGAGUGGUGGUAGCAACGCGUAAUUCUAGCGGGGUAGAAAUGUCUCAGUCGAAAAAGCCUCCCAGCGCUUUCUUUGUUUUCCUGUUUGUAGGUAUAUCAGUAUUUCUCCCUUUCUCUCCUUUUGCAUGCCAAUCCUCACCCUUCUCUCUCCAUCUGGUGCCAUACCAUUUGUGUUGACUCCGUCUCAGCUCUCACUCACUGAGCUGAAGUUCAAGUAAAGAUAUGAUUUUCUUUGCAUUUCAUUAUAACCAAAAUUUUCAUUUAAAUUCAUAGAGUGACAUUGGAAUGCAGAAAAUGGGAUUCAAUAAUAUAUUUCACUAUUAAAUAAAUCUCUUGAUUUAGUUUAUAUGGUUUGUUUUUCUAUUUACUUUUGAAGAUUGGUGUCUACUAUGGAAAUCCAUAAGUGACAAGUGCUGGAAUUGCAUUGAAGUUUUUUGCAUCGGUUCAGCUAGAAGUUCGUCCUACAGGAAGAAUAAAGUCUGUAAGUACAAGGAUAAGGUCAAGUUUGUUGUUAACUUGUGUCUUUUAUACUACUGACUUUUUUUCUCCUAUUAGGGCUCUGCAAUCCAGAGCUGGUUAAGUUGUCAAUAAUAAUUAUAUUUCAUACUUUUGCAAUUUGUUCUUUGGUGAUGUUACUAUGAAGCAUGCCUCAAAUGGAUAUCUAGCACCAGAGAUGGUUAUUGCUCUGCCUUCACUUAUUGGUACACAUCCAAAGGAAGAGGAGCAUAAGACUUUACCUGAGAUAGAAGAAAAACGUUUAUGCAUUGAUCUGGAAAAAGGUUGUGUUGAUGAUGAUUAUGAUCGUGAUAGCGUUGAGGAGCAUGAAGUUCCUUACUAUUCUGAUGUUGAGGGAAUGAUUCUUGAAAUGGACUUAGGUUCAACUAAUCAAGAUGAAAAUGCAAUCACUGAAGUGCAGGAUCAUCUAUAAUUUGUGCAACAAAGAACCUAUGCAUAACUCUUCCUGAGAACUAUCUGACAAGUAAAAGGAGAUAUUAGGAGACUGUAACAUAUCAAAAGUGAGUCACAGUGUCAUUUUCCUUUUUCUAGACCUCUUUAUGAAUUGUUUGCUUGAACAUAGAUAUUCUCUACUGAUUUUUGAAUAACAAGGUGUAGGUUAUAGAUUUUUUACUACAACUAUAGAUCUUCUCUACUGAUUUGUAUUUGCUUGAACACGAAUAUUAAGGUGAUAUAGCUGGAACUUGGGCAUAGAGAUAUUGUUAACGUGAUAUAGUUACAACUAUUUUUGCUAUUUAAUGGUAUGCUAUUACAAUGUUUGUUGAGAUAGGAUAUAUGUUUUCUAUUAUAGAGUUACAAUAUUUUUAGUUUUUCCCUUCAAUUUGUUCAUGCUUAUUUGUAGAUGUUUGAAAAAUUCAUAGAAAUCUUAAAUGUGGGCUUUCGCAAUUCUUUACAUAAAUUAACUCUUAAAAAUAUCCGUGUGCUUCAGAGUCUGCUUAGUUUGAAUUAGGUUGUUCCUAACUACACUUUUUUUCCAUAUGAAAGUGGGUAUAACGUAACUGCUUUUGUUUAUGGUUAUAAAUUUCAAAAUAAUCAAGAGAAGGCACUCAACCAUACUUUGCUCCUGAUAUAUUUUUGUUCAGUCCAGAAAUUUAAAAUCAAGUGAAUGAUUUAAGCAUUGUGAUUUUUUAUGGUAUUUAUAGUUGUUUUCUACCAAGUUAAAACCUAAUGUGUGUCAGUGUGUGUGUGAUAUUUUCUUGCUUGGAGAGCUCUUACUAUAUCUUGGAAGUGUUUUUCAUUUUAUGUUCUUUAGUGAUUGACCUUGACGGUGAAUAUAGGCACUGUUAGAGCUGAAAGUGUUGAUUCAGAGUCAAAAGUGGGUCCAGGGAGUCAUGCUCUAAAGGCAAAGUUGAUGUUUAUAUUCUACCGGUCUAUUGCAGCAGCAAACAUUUUCACAUCCACCUUGCGGUGCAUUUUUGGUUAUGUUUAGGGGUGUGCCUGGUUGGUUAUUUUGAAAAACCAAACCAUAACCAUUUUAAAACCAUUUAAAUGGUUUGGAUUUAUAACCAUAACCACAUUUUAAUCAAAACUGGUUAUAAACCGGUUAUAAAUUUGGUUAUGAUUAUAUAACCGUUUUUUUUUAAAAUUCAAUUUUGAAAAUUAUUUUUUCCGAAAAUAUUUUUUUUCAAAAAAAAAUUUAAUAUUUUGAGAAUUAAAAUAUUUGGAUUUGGAUAAUAACCUGAUUAUAACUGAAUCCAAAAUAAUUUAACCGGUUAAUAACCAUUUAAUUAUAUCCGGAUUAUAUGAAUGGAUAACCAAACCAUUAAUAACUAAACCGGUUAAUAACCAUUCAAUUAUAUUCGGAUAUUUAAAAGUGGUUUAGGUUUGGUUAUGGAUUUGGACAUCAAAACCGGAUAUUUUGCACACCUCUAGUUGUGUUGACUGUUGAUAUGUGUAGGUUCAUUUGCACCGAAGGUUAUGUUUUUCUGGUUCAUAUGCAUAUCUUUUAUUCAUUUGCAGCCCGAUAAUACUUCUGGCUUUGACGACUGUAACUUACCGAAAUGAACCACUAAGUAAUAGUGUAAAUCAAAUUUGAUAUUUUACAAUUUUCAGGUUGCUCAUUCUCAGGGGGAUCAAUAUAUAGUUCCACCCAUAGGUUCAAGAAGGAAAACGUAUGCUGCAAUUCAGAAACUUCUUAAAGGGUUUCCAUGAUCAUGUCAUCAUGUGAUAAGAUCCAUAUUCAAUAUAUGUAAGCAUAAAUGUAUAUAUGAAUGUAUGUAUGUCUAAUGUAUAGCAAUAGUUAUGUAUGUAUGCUUAUGCAAGGUUUUAAGAAACGACUGUGGUUGUGUAAAGAUUUUUGCGAUUUUGUUCGGUACAGGUGUGAAUUAACUCUUUAACAUAAAAACAGUAUCGACACCUACUGAAACCAUUUUUUCACUACUGGUGCGCCGCGUACCAUUUUUAAAAACCUUGUGCUUAUGUAUGUAUGCAUAAUGUGUAGAACUAAGUAGCAGAGUUUUAAAUAAUGGUUGUGGCAAUCACAUUAUAAUUUCUAAAACAUUAAAAACAAUUUUAUGCAACUCUACUAUGGUCGCAAUCGGAAUAAAUGGUUGCAAAAUUUUGAUGAUAUGUUAUCUUUGUUUUUCCAUUUUCCCCGUGAUUCUAUUGCCCAAUC